CCUGAUGUUCUGCCAUCAGUAGUCUACCCACUGAAUAAAGUGCGUGGGGACAGAGGAAGCCUCAUCCGUAAGGAUGGUCACUAAACCGUGAGGGGUGGUGGCGACUGCAAGCACCACUGCGGUCGGGAGC
rfam:Metagenome sequence AGZO9976.g2, whole genome shotgun sequence.